UCCAGGAGCUAACAGAGGAGGUGGCCAAGCAGCUGAGGCAACCACGUGCGGCAGCUGAAGGCCAACAAGGCAGAGAAGGCCCAGGUCGACAUGGAGGUGGCCAAGCUGCUGGAGCUGAAGAAGCAGCUGGCACUAGCAGAGGGCAAAAGCCCUGAAGACCCUGUGCCCAAGGGGAAGUGGAAGAAGUAGCACCUGGCUCCUCUGGGCAGGGGAGCAGCCCCAGUGCUACCGAGACCAGACUGGGCUGUGCUGGUGGUCAUGUGCAUGUAAUAAAAUGCAAAAACUA